rnacentral:tRNA from 1 species
GCUAUGGCUCAGUGGUAUAGCAUCUGCUUGAAAUGCAGAAGGUCCCAGAUCCAAACCCUUGCAUCUGCA